rnacentral:rRNA from 1 species
UGAACCUGCGGAGGGAUCAUUACCGAGUUUACAACUCCCAAACCCCUGUGAACAUACCUAUACGUUGCCUCGGCGGAUCAGCCCGCGCCCUGUUAAAACGGGACGGCCCGCCCGAGGACCCUAAACUCUGCUUUUUAGUGGAACUUCUGCAGAUAAAACAAACAAAUAAAUCAAAACUUUCAACAACGGAUCUCUUGGUUCUGGCAUCGAUGAAGAACGCAGCAAAAUGCGAUAAGUAAUGUGAAUUGCAGAAUUCAGUGAAUCAUCGAAUCUUUGAACGCACAUUGCGCCCGCCAGUAUUCUGGCGGGCAUGCCUGUUCGAGCGUCAUUUCAACCCUCAAGCUCAGCUUGGUGUUGGGACUCGCGGUAACCCGCGUUCCCCAAAUCGAUUGGCGGUCACGUCGAGCUUCCAUAGCGUAGUAAUCAUACACCUCGUUACUGGUAAUCGUCGCGGCCACGCCGUAAAACCCCAACUUCUGAAUGUUGACCUCGGAUCAGGUAGGAAUACCCGCUGAACUUAAGCAUAUCAAU